rnacentral:misc_RNA from 1 species
GAUGAAGAACGUAGUGAAAUGCGAUAAGUAAUGCGAAUUGCAGAAUUCAGUGAGUCAUCGAAUCUUUGAACGCACAUUGCGCCCUGUGGUAUUCCGCAGGGCAUGCCUGUUCGAGCGUCAUUUCAACCCUCAAGCUCUGCUUGGUGUUGGGCCCCGCCCGCUCGCGGCCGGCCCUAAAGACAGUGGCGGCAGCGCCUGGCUCCAAGCGUAGUACAGCUCUCGCUCUGGGGCUAGGCGGUAGCCUGCCAGAACCCCCCUUCUAUGGUUGACCUCGGAUCAGGUAGGGAUACCCGCUGAACUUAAGCAUAUCAAUAAGCGGAGGA